CCCAACCCAUAUCAACCCAACCUAAAUCGGGUGGGUUAGUCGGUAGACUGAAAUGCACACCCCUACUUCCUUGUGUGCGGAUAAACAAACCACCACCUCUCUGCUUUCUCAAUUAGGUUUUCCCGUUUUCGCAAUUUCCCAAUUCCCCCUAACUCCGGAACUCUCUCUCCACCAAUUCAUAAAUGCCUUUGCACUCUCUUCCACACCCCACUACCACUUCCGCCUCUUGCCGCCGCCGCUAAGCCUUCGGAAACGCCACCUCUCUCGGCCUACUUCGCCGCCGGAUCUCCGUCCCAAAGUGAUAUUCACUUUGACUUGUCAAUAGAAAACAAGGCUGCUACUAACCUCUUUGCGCACUGGUUUAAACUGUUUCUAUGCUCUAUUAGAACCUCAGCAAUUAUUGUUUAACUGCACUUGCAUUGGGACAGAUGAGCACGUCUAGUCAGCUACAAGAAAUUAACAGAAAAACUAGCCGGAUUGCCCUGCCUAACCAUGAUGAAGAAAGUGCUGCUAGAACAAGGCCUUUCAGCUUUGAAGAGAUUAUGCUUAGGAGGAAUAACAAGAAGUUAUGUGAUAGUGUCGUAGAGGAAGUCGUAGAUGUAGGUAAUGUACCAAGGGAAUCUAUGGUUAAAAAUUCUUUUGACAGUUUUGAGUCUGAAAAGGAUCACAGACACCAUAAAGAUUUGCCCCCUGUUGAUAAAAAGCCUGCCUCCGAGGAUCCAGUGAAGGCAUAUUCCAGAAA